AGUACAGUUUUAUAGGGUUCCGCAGCGAAAUCGCCGGCCUGCACCGAGAUAAAACGCACAGAAUACUGUGUUCACGGAAGGAUAAAAGCCUGGGAGAU
rnacentral:sRNA from 1 species